CCCUUUGGGGUGUGACUGCGUACCUUUUGUAUAAUGGGUCAGCGACUUAUAUUCUGUAGCAAGGUUAACCGAAUAGGGGAGCCGGAGGGAAACCGAGUCUUAAUUGGGCGUUAAGUUGCAGGGUAUAGACCCGAAACCCGGUGAUCUAGCCAUGGGCAGGUUGAAGGUUGGGUAACACUAACUGGAGGACCGAACCGACUAAUGUUGAAAAAUUAGCGGAUGACCUGUGGCUGGGGGUGAAAGGCCAAUCAAACCGGGAGAUAGCUGGUUCUCCCCGAAAGCUAUUUAGGUAGCGCCUCGUGAAUUCAUCUCCGGGGGUAGAGCACUGUUUCGGCUAGGGGGCCAUCCCGGCUUACCAACCCGAUGCAAACUGCGAAUACCGGAGAAUGUUAUCACGGGAGACACACGGCGGGUGCUAACGUCCGUCGUGAAGAGGGAAACAACCCAGACCGCCAGCUAAGGUCCCAAAGUCAUGGUUAAGUGGGAAACGAUGUGGGAAGGCCCAGACAGCCAGGAUGUUGGCUUAGAAGCAGCCAUCAUUUAAAGAAAGCGUAAUAGCUCACUGGUCGAGUCGGCCUGCGCGGAAGAUGUAACGGGGCUAAACCAUGCACCGAAGCUGCGGCAGCGACGCUGAUGCGUUGUUGGGUAGGGGAGCGUUCUGUAAGCCUGCGAAGGUGGCCUGUGAGGGUUGCUGGAGGUAUCAGAAGUGCGAAUGCUGACAUAAGUAACGAUAAAGCGGGUGAAAAGCCCGCUCGCCGGAAGACCAAGGGUUCCUGUCCAACGUUAAUCGGGGCAGGGUGAGUCGACCCCUAAGGCGAGGCCGAAAGGCGUAGUCGAUGGGAAACGGGUUAAUAUUCCCGUACUUGGUGUUACUGCGAAGGGGGGACGGAGAAGGCUAUGUUGGCCGGGCGACGGUUGUCCCGGUUUAAGCGUGUAGGUGUGUGUUCCAGGUAAAUCCGGUUCACUUUAACACUGAGGCGUGAUGACGAGGCACUACGGUGCUGAAGCAACAAAUGCCCUGCUUCCAGGAAAAGCCUCUAAGCAUCAGGUAACAUCAAAUCGUACCCCAAACCGACACAGGUGGUCAGGUAGAGAAUACCAAGGCGCUUGAGAGAACUCGGGUGAAGGAACUAGGCAAAAUGGUGCCGUAACUUCGGGAGAAGGCACGCUGACACGUAGGUGAAGUGAUUUACUCAUGGAGCUGAAGUCAGUCGAAGAUACCAGCUGGCUGCAACUGUUUAUUAAAAACACAGCACUGUGCAAACACGAAAGUGGACGUAUACGGUGUGACGCCUGCCCGGUGCCGGAAGGUUAAUUGAUGGGGUCAGCGCAAGCGAAGCUCCUGAUCGAAGCCCCGGUAAACGGCGGCCGUAACUAUAACGGUCCUAAGGUAGCGAAAUUCCUUGUCGGGUAAGUUCCGACCUGCACGAAUGGCGUAAUGAUGGCCAGGCUGUCUCCACCCGAGACUCAGUGAAAUUGAACUCGCUGUGAAGAUGCAGUGUACCCGCGGCAAGACGGAAAGACCCCGUGAACCUUUACUAUAGCUUGACACUGAACAUUGAGCCUUGAUGUGUAGGAUAGGUGGGAGGCUUUGAAGUGUGGACGCCAGUCUGCAUGGAGCCGGCCUUGAAAUACCACCCUUUAAUGUUUGAUGUUCUAACGUGGACCCGUGAUCCGGGUUGCGGACAGUGUCUGGUGGGUAGUUUGACUGGGGCGGUCUCCUCCUAAAGAGUAACGGAGGAGCACGAAGGUUGGCUAAUCCUGGUCGGACAUCAGGAGGUUAGUGCAAUGGCAUAAGCCAGCUUGACUGCGAGCGUGACGGCGCGAGCAGGUGCGAAAGCAGGUCAUAGUGAUCCGGUGGUUCUGAAUGGAAGGGCCAUCGCUCAACGGAUAAAAGGUACUCCGGGGAUAACAGGCUGAUACCGCCCAAGAGUUCAUAUCGACGGCGGUGUUUGGCACCUCGAUGUCGGCUCAUCACAUCCUGGGGCUGAAGUAGGUCCCAAGGGUAUGGCUGUUCGCCAUUUAAAGUGGUACGCGAGCUGGGUUUAGAACGUCGUGAGACAGUUCGGUCCCUAUCUGCCGUGGGCGCUGGAGAACUGAGGGGGGCUGCUCCUAGUACGAGAGGACCGGAGUGGACGCAUCACUGGUGUUCGGGUUGUCAUGCCAAUGGCACUGCCCGGUAGCUAAAUGCGGAAGAGAUAAGUGCUGAAAGCAUCUAAGCACGAAACUUGCCCCGAGAUGAGUUCUCCCUGAGACUUAGAGUCUCCUGAAGGAACGUUGAAGACGACGACGUUGAUAGGCCGGGUGUGUAAGCGCAGCGAUGCGUUGAGCUAACCGGUACUAAUGAACCGUGAGGCUUAACCUUACAACGCCGAAG
rnacentral:rRNA from 1 species